rnacentral:lncRNA from 1 species
CUGUCAUACACAUGGCAACCAGAAGGUGGCACGGUCUUAACAUCGACCGAGGUCUGUCAGCUCUACUCUUGAAUCCAAGCAGAUUUAUUUGUGAAGGUAACUGCUGAUUGCACUACAUACAUGCAUUUAUGCAUUUGUGUCUUUCCUCAACUACAUAGAAACAAACCUCUUCCUACGCCUGAAAACUGAGAACUCUUUGCUUGUUUCCAUUUUCUUUUUAUCCCCUCUCCCCUCCUCACCUAUACAAUUAAUAUUGUUUUGGUUAAGCUUCAGAGGACUUGAAUACAGCUCUGUAUUUAUCUUCCUGUUAGAAGCAUUUGGUUAAUGAAACCUAAAUGAAGCCUCAUGAUUUGCAUCUUUCUUAUGUCUUAUUUGUAACCACUUGCAUCAUGAGAAGAAGACCUUAAUUUUAUAUUCAUUCAUUAGUAGAGUUUCAUUCAAAUAGUAAUUAACUCUUUGGUCAAAAUUAACAAAAUGAAUUACUAGUAUUGAGUGGUGUGCAUGCAUAUAAUUCAAAAGGACAUUAUAAAUUUCUGAUGUGUUACACAUUAGAUUUAUAUUGCAGGUUCCAUUAUAAAGAAAAGGCCACGAAUUCACUAGUAUUUUUCUUUCUUUAAGAGAAAAGAGAACAUGCCUUUGUCUUUUAUGAAACUGGCUAUAUGAAGAUUCAUGAGAGACCUUAAUGACAGAAGUGAACAAUGUGUAGACAAGCUGACAACAUUUCAUCACAAUCUUUCCUCAUCCCUAAAACACAAAGACAAAUGGCAGUUAAGAGGUAAAAUAUUUGCUGAGCAACACGAAGGUUUAGAGUGAAUGCCUGAAGAUCUUUGCCAUCACCUUCUCUUCUGCAGAUAGCGCAGUGAUUGGGAGAGGAGAAGGGGGAAAUGUGAGCUGUCACGUACGAUUUGCAUGCAUCUGAAUACACACUGUAUACACACUAACUCAAAGUGGUUCAUGAGAUAUUCCCAUUAACUCACAGUGAUGGCAUCUGCAUUUUAUAAUGUCAGAGGAGCUCACUGAAAAUAAUAGACUUGAGAAUAAUAUAAGUGUAUAAGAAUAAAAUAAAAAUAAAAAAUCAGAAGUAGUGUGGCCAGCUUGGCUACAACCACUACCUUUUUGUGCUUUCUCUCCUGAGGCAUCCUGGUUCAUGCUUCCUUCAUGGUCCCUGGAUCUGGAAAUCUUCACACUGUUCCACAUGUAAACCUCUAUUGAGCCAUUUAGUUCUAGUUUCUGCUCACAAAACUUUUCCCUGACAUUUAUGGUAAUUAUUAUAUCAUAAUUAUUCAUAUCUGUAACUGAGUCUGCAAGAGUGACUCCCUUAUUUUCCCUCAUAAAUUCAACUCACGUUCAUUAAGCAGUUAUGUGCCUGGCCAUAUUCCAAGUACAAAAAAUACACAGAUAAAGGGAGAAAAUAGUAAACAAGUAAACAAUAAAUAAUUUCAAAUAUCAAGUGUUGUGAUAGAGUACUUAGGCACUCAGAGGUGAAACAGAAGCAGAAGAGGCUUCAGAGGAAAGUGAGGAGUACUGCCCGUUAGGUAGGAGUAUUCCAGAAAAGAAAGUGUGUGAAGAAGAAAAGACUGCCCAGUUUUAUCAACUGCCGUCUGCUUGUGAACUUCGGCAAGGGGAAGCCAAUGAAGACCUUAAUAAGUAUAUUUGGAUGGAAUGAUGGGAACAAAGGCUUUUCCUGGGGGGAGAAUGCAGAAAAUAAAAAGACAGGCAUUCUGUUUCAUUCAUCUUUGUACCAUUUUUGUACCUCCAUUGUCUAAUACAUAGUAGUCAUUUAAUAAAUGUUGCCUAAAUAUACAAAUUUCCUGGUCCUUUACC